rnacentral:lncRNA from 1 species
CAGAAGUCAGGUCGGAUUAAGCCAUAGUACGGAAAAAACUAUGCUACCUGUGAGCCCCGUCCAAGGACGUUAAAAGAGGUCAGGCCACCACAAGUGCCAUAGCUUGAGUAAACUAUGCAGCCUGUAGCUCCACCUGAGAAGGUGUAAAAAAUCUGGGAGGCCACAAACCAUGGAAGCUGUACGCAUGGCGUAGUGGACUAGCGGUUAGAGGAGACCCCUCCCUCACAAAUCGCAGCAACAAUGGGGGCCCAAGGUGAGAUGAAGCUGUAGUCUCACUGAAAGGACUAGAGGUUAGAGGAGACCCCCCCGAAACAAAAA